GACGAACGCUGGCGGCGUGCUUAACACAUGCAAGUCGAACGGUGAAGCGCCUUCCUUUUUGGUGGGUGUGGAUGAGUGGCGAACGGGUGAGUAACACGUGAGUAACCUGCCCCCUUCUUCUGGAUAACCGCAUGAAAGUGUGGCUAAUACGGGAUAUUCUGGGUCUGUCGCAUGAUGGGUCUGGGAAAGAUCUUGUUUCGGUGGGGGAUGGGCUCGCGGCCUAUCAGCUUGUUGGUGGGGUGAUGGCCUACCAAGGCGGUGACGGGUAGCCGGCCUGAGAGGGUGGACGGUCACACUGGGAAUGAGACACGGCCCAGACUCCUACGGGAGGCAGCAGUGGGGAAUAUUGCACAAUGGGCGCAAGCCUGAUGCAGCGACGCCGCGUGAGGGAUGGAGGCCUGCGGGUUGUGAACCUCUUUCGCCAGUGAAGCAGGCCUGCCUCGUUUGUGGGUGGGUUGACGGUAGCUGGAUAAGAAGCGCCGGCUAACUACGUG
rnacentral:rRNA from 1 species